GACGAACGCUGGCGGCGUGCCUAAUACAUGCAAGUAGAACGCACAGUUUAUACCGUAGCUUGCUACACCAUAGACUGUGAGUUGCGAACGGGUGAGUAACGCGUAGGUAACCUGCCUGGUAGCGGGGGAUAACUAUUGGAAACGAUAGCUAAUACCGCAUAAUAUUGAUUAUUGCAUGAUAAUUGAUUGAAAGAUGCUAUUGCAUCACUACCAGAUGGACCUGCGUUGUAUUAGCUAGUAGGUGAGGUAACGGCUCACCUAGGCGACGAUACAUAGCCGACCUGAGAGGGUGAUCGGCCACACUGGGACUGAGACACGGCCCAUACUCCUACGGGAGGCAGCAGUAGGGAAUCUUCGGCAAUGGACGAAAGUCUGACCGAGCAACGCCGCGUGAGUGAAGAAGGUUUUCGGAUCGUAAAGCUCUGUUGUAAGAGAAGAACGGGUGUGAGAGUGGAAAGUUCACACUGUGACGGUAUCUUACCAGAAAGGGACGGCUAACUACGUG
rnacentral:rRNA from 1 species